UGCGGUUAUUACAGCAAAGAGGAUACACCUGUUCCCAUUCCGAACACAGAAGUUAAGCUCUUUAGCGCCGAUGGUACUUG
rnacentral:rRNA from 1 species